UACGUAGGGGGCAAGCGUUGUCCGGAUUUAUUGGGCGUAAAGAGCGUGUAGGCGGCUAGGUAGGUCCGUUGUGAAAACUCGAGGCUCAACCUCGAGAUGUCGGCGGAAACCACUUGGCUAGAGUCCGGAAGAGGAGAGUGGAAUUCCUGGUGUAGCGGUGAAAUGCGCAGAUAUCAGGAAGAACACCUAUGGCGAAGGCAGCUCUCUGGGACGGUACUGACGCUGAGGCGCGAAAGCGUGGGGAGCGAACAGG
rnacentral:rRNA from 1 species